GGUUGAAAUUAAAACUAAACAGGACAAAAGAAAUGGUUUCAGCUUCCCAAUUGAAUGUUCGAAGUAUAUAUCGAAGUUCCAAUUAUUACGAUAUCCUGGGAUUGUACUUCCUACCAUGUUUUCCUUGAUAGAUGAUUGCUGAUCACACUGAAGCUAUCAAACGAAGAGUUCCGAAUGGUGAAGUUGAAACCAUCCCUGUGAAAAUUUUAUGGACACCAUCACGAGUUGGUUGACCAUUAUGGGAUAUCCGUUUGACAGAUGAUAACGGAUAUGUUCCUUAUGUUGUAACUUCACUCCUCUUCCCUUUUCAUGAAUAUGACCUACUGAAUUAAGACUAUUUAUCGGGUUUGAAAUAACAUGAGCAACACAACGGGUGUCACAUGUGGAGCAAGAUCUGCUUAUCCUUCUGGAGCACCUGAUAUCACCCCCAGUUUUUGGUGGGCUUUGUGUUGCUUAGUCUUUAGUUUUCUAUGUUGUGUCUUGUGUACUAUUAUUUGACUGUUUGUCUUUUUCUUUUCUAGCCAUGGCGUUGUCAGUUUAUGUUGAUCUCUGAGUUUUAACGACCUUCUUGUAUCUUUAGCCCCUCUUUCGCUCAUGAGUGCGAAAUUCACAUGAUAAAAAUAAAAGUUUUUUAAAUGAGCAGUCUCGAACCAUUAGAAUGAGUUCAAUGACAAUGGACGAUGGUCAUACGACAAACAGAAGCGCCUAACAUAAGGCAAGGCAUCUAUAUACAACGUCUUCUAAAUUCUAAAAUUAACAGCUUUAUAUCCUCUCCCAGUUUAGCAUACCAGUCUCAUAUUUUGUGACUAGUUGCAUGUAAAACAAAAACAAAAUAUUUAUAUUGUAGGGCACUCUAUUGCUCACUAAUGAUGUACUAUAAGUAUUUUAUAAACAAAUGAAUUUGACAAGGAAUUGAGAUGAUACAGCACAUACAGCAUGAUACUUAAUUUUUGAAAUCUUUGAUUUAUAGUUCCUAGGUACUUUGCAAUGAAUAUGUAUGGCUUUGGUCAAUAAGGCUAUUGUAAACCAACUUAUUUUCGCGACUUUCGUGAGUAGAAAAAUAACGCGAAUAUAAAUAGUUGCGAACAUGUAAAACAUAGAUAUUUCCUUCAAGUAAAUAAGAAAAUCGCGAAAUAAAAUAGCCGCGAAGUGGUCAAGAAAGGGUAGAACGUGAAAUAAAGUAUCCGCGAAAAUAAGUUGGUUUACAGUAUAUCAGUAUUUGUUGAACAGCAAAUUUGCAAUGAAUAUUUCAUACAUGACUAUUGUGAUAAGGAUAUUUAACUAUU
rnacentral:lncRNA from 1 species